rnacentral:rRNA from 1 species
UACAGGGGGUGCAAACGUUGCUCGGAAUUAUUGGGCGUAAAGAGCUCGUAGGCGGUUUGUCGCGUCGGCCGUGAAAACCCGGAGCUCAACUCCGGGCCUGCAGUCGAUACGGGCAGACUGGAGUUCGGCAGGGGAGACUGGAAUUCCUGGUGUAGCGGUGAAAUGCGCAGAUAUCAGGAGGAACACCGGUGGCGAAGGCGGGUCUCUGGGCCGUAACUGACGCUGAGGAGCGAAAGCGUGGGGAGCGAACAGG